CGUGUAGGCGGCGUAAUAAGUCCGAUGUGAAAUCCCUCAGCUUAACUGAGGAACUGCGUUGGAAACUGUAAUGCUUGAGUAUGAUAGGGGGAAGUGGAACUCCAUGUGGAGCGGUGAAAUGCGUAGAUAUGUGGAGGAACACCGAUGGCGAAGGCAACUUCCUGGGUCAUUACUGACGCUGAGGCGCGAAAGCUAGGGUAGCGAACAGGAUUAGAUACCCUGGUAGUCC
rnacentral:rRNA from 1 species